rnacentral:rRNA from 1 species
UACGUAGGGGGCAAGCGUUGUCCGGAAUCAUUGGGCGUAAAGCGCGUGUAGGCGGUUCGGUAAGUCUGCUGUGAAAGUCCAGGGCUCAACCCUGGGAUGCCGGUGGAUACUGUCGGACUAGAGUACGGAAGAGGCGAGUGGAAUUCCCGGUGUAGCGGUGAAAUGCGCAGAUAUCGGGAAGAACACCCGUGGCGAAGGCGGCUCUCUCGGGACGGUACUGACGCUGAGACGCGAAAGCGUGGGGAGCGAACAGG